UGGGGAAUUUUGGACAAUGGGCGCAAGCCUGAUCCAGCCAUGCCGCGUGCGGGAAGAAGGCCUUCGGGUUGUAAACCGCUUUUGUCAGGGAAGAAAUCUUCUGAGUUAAUACCUCGGGAGGAUGACGGUACCUGAAGAAUAAGCACCGGCUAACUACGUGCCAGCAGCCGCGGUAAUACGUAGGGUGCAAGCGUUAAUCGGAAUUACUGGGCGUAAAGCGUGCGCAGGCGGUUUUGUAAGACAGAGGUGAAAUCCCCGGGCUCAACCUGGGAACUGCCUUUGUGACUGCAAGGCUUGAGUGCGGCAGAGGGGGCAUGGAAUUCCGCGUGUAGCAGUGAAAUUGCGUAGAUAUGCGGAGGAACACCGAUGGCGAAGGCAAUCCCCUGGGCCUGCACUGACGCUCAUGCACGAAAGCGUGGGGAGCAAACAGGAUUAGAUACCCUGGUAGUCCACGCCCUAAACGAUGUCAACUGGUUGUUGGGAAGGUUCCUUCUCAGUAACGUAGCUAACGCGUGAANUUGACCGCCUGGGGAGUACGGCCGCAAGGUUGAAACUAAAUGAAUUGACGGGGUCAUAGCUGUUU
rnacentral:rRNA from 1 species